rnacentral:rRNA from 1 species
AGUGAACGCUGGCGGUAGGCCUAACACAUGCAAGUCGAACGGCAGCACAGUAAGAGCUUGCUCUUACGGGUGGCGAGUGGCGGACGGGUGAGGAAUACAUCGGAAUCUACUUUUUCGUGGGGGAUAACGUAGGGAAACUUACGCUAAUACCGCAUACGACCUACGGGUGAAAGCAGGGGAUCUUCGGACCUUGCGCGAUUGCAUGAGCCGAUGUCGGAUUAGCUAGUUGGCGGGGUAAAGGCCCACCAAGGCGACGAUCCGUAGCUGGUCCGAGAGGAUGAUCAGCCACACCGGAACUGAGACACGGUCCAGACUCCUACGGGAGGCAGCAGUGGGGAAUAUUGGACAAUGGGCGCAAGCCUGAUCCAGCCAUACCGCGUGGGUGAAGAAGGCCUUCGGGUUGUAAAGCCCUUUUGUUUGGAAAGAAAAGCAGCAGGUUAAUACCCCGCUGUUCUGACGGUACCCAAAGAAUAAGCACCGGCUAACUUCGUG